GCAAAAUGCAUUAAAAUUUUAAAAUAGCAAUUAAAUAUACAAAAAUAUAGCUUACAAAAAACUGCGAAUGUUUAAAAAUAUUCUGCUGCAGAAUUUUUAGUGUACAAACACGUCUAUGAAACCUGAGGUUCAGCAUUUCAUAAACUUUUUUUUGAGGGAGUUACACAAUACCUAGUGAGGAAACCCGAGGGCCAAACUACAAGACGAAAAAGUGCCCCGUUCCUGGCAAUGAUGUCAGAAGACCAAGAGGCGAUAGUUACCAGCAACACUCUAGGAAGACCAGCUGUCACCAGAAGGGAGUUCCUAACACUUGCCACACCUGCUCCCCCGACCCCCCCGCCCUAGUGGGGGCCUGGGAGGGAAGGGCAGAUGGAGAGGAACGGUGUGCAGUGGGCGUGAGAUGCAGAUCCACCAGGCUUGGGACUGGCAAAGGGAGCUGAGUAGAGAGUUCCCCCAAAGCACAAACAAGUCUGCUGACACUGGUGGAGCCCUUAUAGUCACAGAAGUAAGGACUGGAUGGUAAGCCAAAGGUGCUGACGCUUGGUCAAAAAGUGGAGUACAUCUUUGCAUCUUGUAACAAUUUGGGCUCUAUAGCUGAAUUGGCAAAGUAAGGUUUACUGAACAAGCCCCUCUUUUUCUUCUGAUAUCCCCACUCAAAUGGAAGCACAUUCCCCAGCACAUGGGGAUCCCUUAUUAAUCUUUACUAAAGAACCGUGACCCAGCAUUUUCCAGUUAUCAACUGGAUAUUUAGGCAUGAAUCUGGACAUGUCCAUCUGCUUAAGAAAUCUGUAACAGCUACAGGAAAAGACACACCCAGGGCCAGAGAUUCUACAAAUGCCAGAAGAGUGGACGUGAUAGAGAAUUUUUUCUCAAGUUUUGGGUUAGGGCACCAGUUGCAAUUUUAAUCCAGGGGAGGAUCUGGGCUGCUGCUGUAGGGGGCAAGUACACCAGGGAGGUGGGUGUGGACAGAGGCACUGGGCAGCUGCUGGGAAGCGAGGCACAAGUCUGUGCCCCUACUCCCAGGGCUGCCUGGAGGAAGCAGCUCUAACUUUCAUCAGCGGGGACAAAAAUGAACUUAAACUAAAAAAAUUAUUGGCCGGAAGCAUUUUCUUUUCAAAGUGUGUGCAUAGAGUGAGGAGGCCAGCCUGGGCAACAUAGUGAGUUGAGACCUGUCUCUACAAAAAAAUUAUGAAAAUUAGCCAGGUGUGCUGGUGUGCACCUGUAGACGCAGCUGCAGACUGAGGCGGGAGGAUCACUUGAGUCCAGGAAGUUGAGGCUGCAGUGAGCUACAAUGGUGCCACUGCACUCCAGUCUGGGUAACAAGACCCUGUCUCAACAACAACGAAAAGUUGGGAGGGAAAGGGAGUAGCUCCAUGAACUGACGCUGGACAUUCAGGCAUAUCCACAUGAGACUCACUGUGCACUUGCUCAGUAGCUAAGAUGUCUGCCCCACAAAAUAGAAGCCUUCAGUUGCUGCUGCUCAAACUCCUGCAUCAAAGACACAAGAGCUUGCCUAAGUGACCACAACAGUUGUAGCCACACAUCACCACUGGUCCUCACUUGGAACUGGCCAAGGUAGGGGAGGGGCCAGCAGCUGUCCAGGCACCUGCAGAGGCUGCUCAGAGCUGGGAGAGGCCUGUGCCACUGCUGUCAGCUACAGAGCCUGAUCUUGAGCAUCCUGUCGCAGAUAGAAAGUUAAUCAGAAAAAUCUGGUUGUGCUCUUGGAUUAGCUGGGCAUUUGGGGUAAGGGAGGGACUGCAGAUUCUGAUUUGUACAGAAAACUAAAAUUUCAGUAUGUUGCAAUAAAAUGAAAAUAUGUCUUACUCAACAGGAGUGUGAUUGCAAAAACAUCCCCCAAUUCUGGGUUCACAUUUUGUAUUCUGAUUUCUGGGAUGGCUCUUCCCACAUUAGUAGGAGCGUUCCUUGAAUACACUUGUCUGGUACCACAUGAGUAGAAAAGGAGAAAAAUUAUAUAGACACACAUGCGUAAAUGAUCUCUGGAAGGAUACCCAAGGAACAAACCAAUAGUAGGUAUUCAUGGAGUGAGGAGCGGAGCUUGCUAGGCAUCAGGAACUCAAGAAAGGCUUUUAACUACUUUAUGAUUUGUGAACCACAUGAAUGGAUUACCUAUUCAAAACAUUAAGAAAGAAAUAUUCAGCACUGAACAACCAAGUCAGAGUUCACUGUGGGCAAAGGCAGAGAUGACCAAGGAAGAAAGGGGCCAGGUGAACCUGGGCCUCAGGGAAAGCCCCUACAGCUCCGGAAGCUUUUUGGCUGAGGUUCUAUUCCUAUCAAUCAUGAUGGCAGAGGAGCCCAUGGAACCCAUAUGAUGUUAGGUGGUAUCAGCAGCCCCCAUGACACCAGGCCUGCUGCCCACCAGGCUCUGGGCACCAGCUAACCCCCACAAGAGGUGCCAGGGACGUUACUACAAUCCCUGGGUGGUAGCUAAGGAAGCUAAGGAAGAGACUGAGAGGCUAACCUGCAGAAGGGCCUAAGGCUAGUGAGUGACAAGAGGUGAUUCCAUCACUCUCUGCCUGGAGCUCUGGGGAUACUGCCCUGGAUGUAUCUGGAUGUAUUUCAUAAUGCCCAAAAAGCCUCUGAGAAAAAUAAUUCCUAGUUUUUCAAAGUAGCUUAGAGCGGGAUCAGGCCAGGGAGAUGACAUGAUUUUGAAGUGGGGUUGUGAAAAAGGACAAGGCCCGAGGCUAUUUCUCUGAUGGAUCCAAGGGGCUUGGCACUGGGGAGAAGGAUCUUCUUGUCAAGAACAGGGUAUCCGGCAAUGGUGGGAGGUCCCCUGUAUCCCUCAGCUCAGACCUUCCCAGGGGCCACCUGCCCCUAUUUGGCCAUUUCUGUCCUGCCUUCCCCGGCUAGGCAAGCACAGGCUUCAAGGACCUUAUCUGCCAGGGACAGGCCUAACCAAAUCACACGUGGCAAAGAAAAGCAGCAGAUGUCAACUUCCUAGUGUCUGAUACUGACCCAACCAGGAAUCAAGUCAGGCUGGUUUUGUUCCCUGUUUCUGAAGCCAGUUGAAUUCAGUUGUACCCCUAGCAACUACUAAUGGUUCAGCCACCCAUGGAGUCCAGUUGGGGCUGAGUUAUGCUCCACUAACCCAUAGCAGACCAGCAACAUUCUAUCUUUGAGCUGCUUAAGAAACACACAAAGGAUACCAGCCAGUGGUCCAAGAGCAGACCAGAAUCCCCACGCAUCUACCAGUAACAAGUCCCAGCAACUCCUGAAGAUAGAUGCGGAAAGGGUGACUUUACCAUGGGGUUCGAGUCUGAGCCAAGAGAGUUAUAAAGGGGUCCCUAACUCAUUCUUUUUUCAAAAUAAAUAAAUAAAAAAAAGGAUUGUCUUUCAAACAAAAAACUCUGCGAUUUUCAUGAGAAUUAACGGAGGGUGUCAAUUAAAAGGCCUGUUUGUCUGUUUGUCUGUGCAGCAAAGCAGAUGCGCAGGCCCAUCCUGGUGGAGGACCCAGAUGCAGGGAGCAAAUAUUCGGGUUGUGUUGCUGAGUCGCAGGAACUACUGCUAGGGAUACUAGGCUUGCUGCAGGAGGAUGUCACGCUGAGAAAGGGAGAUGACUAGGAGCAGAAAAAGUGCUCUCACUGUUCCAGCUUCCAGCCCAAUCCUAGCAGAAUGAAUGCAUUUUAAAAUCACUCCACAUUCACAUGUGCUGAGAAGGUUGUUAGUGGUCCCUCAUCUGGGCAAAGCAGACCCAAGAUGGUGCUGAGUGCAGAGUGCAGAGCAUUCUUGUGCUCUCCUCUCACGGCUGGAACUAUCUGGGCUUUGCGCCCUGGUCCAGUGCUACGUAUCAAC
rnacentral:lncRNA from 1 species